rnacentral:rRNA from 1 species
GACGGAAGGUGCAAGCGUUGCUCGGAAUCACUGGGCGUAAAGGGCGCGUAGGCGGCUUUAUAAGUCGGGGGUGAAAGCCUGUGGCUCAACCACAGAAUUGCCUUCGAUACUGUAGAGCUUGAGACCGGAAGAGGUAAGUGGAACUGCGAGUGUAGAGGUGAAAUUCGUAGAUAUUCGCAAGAACACCAGUGGCGAAGGCGGCUUACUGGUCCGGUUCUGACGCUGAGGCGCGAAAGCGUGGGGAGCAAACAGG